ACAGGGAGGAGCUUGCUCCACCCUGUCUGAGUGGCGGACGGGUGAGUAACGCGUGAGUAACCUGCCUUAAAGAGGGGGAUAACGUCUGGAAACGGACGCUAAUACCGCAUGACAUACGGAGAUGGCAUCAUAACCGUAUCAAAGGAGGAAUCCGCUUUAAGAUGGACUCGCGUCCAAUUAGCUGGUUGGUGAGGUAACGGCUCACCAAGGCGACGAUUGGUAGCCGGACUGAGAGGUUGAACGGCCACAUUGGGACUGAGACACGGCCCAGACUCCUACGGGAGGCAGCAGUGGGGAAUAUUGCACAAUGGGGGGAACCCUGAUGCAGCGACGCCGCGUGAGGGAAGAAGGUUUUCGGAUUGUAAACCUCUGUCCUUGGUGACGACAAUGACGGUAGCCAAGGAGGGAAGCCACGGCCUAACUACGUGCCAGCAGCCGCGGU
rnacentral:rRNA from 1 species